GACGAACGCUGGCGGCGUGCUUAACACAUGCAAGUCGAACAGAAAGGCCUGCUUUCCCUUGUGGAUUGCGGGUACUCGAGUGGCGAACGGGUGAGUAACACGUGAGUGAUCUGCCCCCAACUUGGGUAUAAGCCUGGGAAACUGGGUCUAAUUCCCGAUAGGACUGCAGGGUGGUGCCUGUGGUGGAAAACGAUUUUCUAGUGGUUGGGGAUGAGCUCGCGGCCUAUCAGCUUGUUGGUGGGGUAAUGGCCUACCAAGGCGGCGACGGGUAGCCGGCCUGAGAGGGUGGACGGCCACAUUGGGACUGAGAUACGGCCCAGACUCCUACGGGAGGCAGCAGUGGGGAAUAUUGCACAAUGGGCGGAAGCCUGAUGCAGCGACGCCGCGUGGGGGAUGACGGCCUUCGGGUUGUAAACUCCUUUCGACCGCGAGGAAGCCACCUGGUUGGAAGGGUGGUGACGGUAGUGGUAGAAGAAGCACCGGCUAACUACGU
rnacentral:rRNA from 1 species